rnacentral:tRNA from 1 species
UUCCUGGUGGUCCAGUGGUUAAGACUCUGCUCUCUUAAUGCAAGGGGGCCAGGUUCAAUCCCUGGUCAGGGAA